UUACGGCCACAUCAAAUUGAAACAUCAAUUCUCGUAUGUUCACCGAAGUUAAGCAACGUCGAGCCUGGUCAGUACCUAGAUGAAUGAUCAUUUGGGAAUAACAUGUGCUGUAA